rnacentral:rRNA from 1 species
GACGAACGCUGGCGGCGUGCCUAAUACAUGCAAGUUGAGCGCUGAAGGUUGGUACUUGUACCAACUGGAUGAGCAGCGAACGGGUGAGUAACGCGUGGGGAAUCUGCCUUUGAGCGGGGGACAACAUUUGGAAACGAAUGCUAAUACCGCAUAAAAACUUUAAACACAAGUUUUAAGUUUGAAAGAUGCAAUUGCAUCACUCAAAGAUGAUCCCGCGUUGUAUUAGCUAGUUGGUGAGGUAAAGGCUCACCAAGGCGAUGAUACACAGCCGACCUGGGAGGGUGAUCGGCCACAUUGGGACUGAGACACGGCCCAAACUCCUACGGGAGGCAGCAGUAGGGAAUCUUCGGCAAUGGACGAAAGUCUGACCGAGCAACGCCGCGUGAGUGAAGAAGGUUUUCGGAUCGUAAAACUCUGUUGGUAGAGAAGAACGUUGGUGAGAGUGGAAAGCUCAUCAAGUGACGGUAACUACCCAGAAAGGGACGGCUAACUACGUG